rnacentral:lncRNA from 1 species
AUAUAACUCUUUUUUUCCAAAACCAGGUUUUGGCUCCCACCCUGGGAUAUCUGAGCCUGCUCCCUGACCCUGGCUCUCUGUGCUCACCUGGACUGGGUCUGUCUUCCAGCUUGAUGCCAGUACAGGCACCCUGGACUGCCCAUGAGGAGGGCUGCAGUUCCACCAUGGCACUCACAGAGUUCAGGCUGGUGGCUUUUAUGUUCUCCUCAAUGAAGGUAACCCCAUUGUUUAGGCUGUAUUCAAUGAUGAUCACCCUGAAGCACAGAAAGGUCAUAUGGUAAGAACCACCUGGAUAGGUAUAGUUCUUAUACUCUGUUCACACCACAGCCCGCAGCUUUUCACAUUGCAAUGGAUUGCUCAUCACACCUUGGGGCCACCUUUGAGCAUACAGCAUAGAGUACAUUGGCUUAGCUUGGAAAGGUUGCCUGGAGCAAAAGGACCAUCCUUGGGGACGACAGGUCUUAUACUUCUAUCUUCAGUACAGACUGGGCCACAGCAGAUCCCCAAGCAUCUCAGAGCACCACUGGUAAGAACAGUCAUGAAGAAUGCCCUGAGCAUUCUGAAAGACAUGUGGUGCACCAGGAAAAGUACCAUCCCACAUUCUAUACACCUCGUGGUGACAAAAACUGCCCACAUGGCCGCUGACCUGAGAUACUUACUUUCCAGGCUUCUCAAAGAUAUGUCCUGGGCAAAAUAAAGAUUCAUCAUCCUUAAAUAUGGCUUUUUUAUCUAAAAGAAAUAUCACAAUGGAAUAAUGUUAAUGCCAUGUCCUUUCAUCCAUCUCUUCCUUUCUGC